rnacentral:misc_RNA from 1 species
CGCACCUUGCGCUCCUUGGUAUUCCGAGGAGCAUGCCUGUUUGAGUGUCUUGAAUUCAUCAACCCCUCCCGUUUGUUUGGCGGGGGCUUGGGUUGGAGCUGGGGGCCUGCGUCCGAGAGGCCGCUCCCCCCAAAUGCUUUGGUUGGGCCUGCGGGUCGUACUCGGUUGGGCGUUGUAACCAUCCUCGCUCGCUUCCGAGAGGUUCCCCACAUAAGUGGUCCUCCCAUCGGCUGCCCUUUGUGUGGCUGCCAGCACGCAUUCUUUGUGAUCUGACCUCAAAUCAGGUAGGACUACCCGCUGAACUUAA